CCGACAGCCGCGAAGUUUUAAGGUGGUCUGGGACAAGGUUAACCACAGAAUUUUGUUAAGAAAAGCUGUCAGGACAUUCGCCAAACUUUGCCUUGAGAUGUUUCUAAUUUUAUGCCAAACUUGUUGACCCUUUCCUGGACACCAUUAUGCUGAAGCCCAACCAGUUCUGGGUAGAUUAAUGUCUCGU